CUUUUACAGUCUCUGGUACACCCUAGCAGAGCCAUAGAAAGAGAUGUUCAGUUGAAUUCGUUCAAUAUCAAAACACGACUUGCAAGAAAACAGUGGUAGGUAGCUAACAAGCAAAGCUAGCCUUACAAUCAAGGUUAUUUGAUGCUUACAAUCGUACUCAAGUUAGCUAGCAAGCAAAUAGCAAGAAAGCAAGCUUUUUCAAAUGAAAAACGUUUCAGCUAAAAUGAAUAAUACAUGCAUUACUUUUCUAGCCAGCUUGCCAUGUUAAAAUUAUUGUGGCGUCUCGUCUAGCAGCGAUUAUAGCCUAACUAUCGAGAUUCUAACUUAGUAAUUGGAGAUAAAACUUUUUUUUUGUACUCCACGUAGAUCAUAAACCCUUGAAUAUAAAACGACUAAUUGAAAACGGUUGAGAAAUGUAAACGUUAUAGUGCUUUUUAUCCAGAAAAACCGCAGCUCCCUCGUUUACUUGUAUUUGUUUACAGGCCAGUCUUGCCUGGACAAAUAUGACGGCGACGUUAACGGAAGAAAAUUAGAACGAAGUAAAAUGUAUUUCUAGUAUUUAUGAGAUUUGAACUCAAUUUUUGAAAAAAAAAAAAAAAAAAAGUGACAGCACAAUUGUGCACUUCCUGCAAAAGAACAUCUUGUGAGAAACAUGAAUAGUUUGUCAUUAUUCUCCUCUUCCAGUACAGCGGUAGACUACGGAAAUGCUCCGUAAUGCUCAUGGCUCUGUAAAAUGGGAUGAAAAGAGGUAAUUUGCUUAGCUAUUAACAAAUGCAGCUGCACCACACCCACUGAUAAUAGCUAGCCUAUAUUUAGUUUAAUCCAGCCCAGUUUCCAGGGGCGCCACUGCACUUUCUGCAGUGCGCUGUGCGGGAGAGAUGCUACGCUGCAUUGAAUUUAAUUAGUCAUUUAGCAGACACUCUUAUCCCGAGCGACUCACGCAACUUAUUACAUAGCAUAAUUGCACCCAUUUAUACAGCAGGAUGUAUACUGAAGCAAUGCUUAACUGCCACCCACAUACACAUCACAGGACACAACAGGGCUCUGACAUCACUCUUAACACAACACAACAUCCUCAUAACUGGUAAAAAAAUAAGAAGAUUUAAGAAAAAACAGGACAAAAUGAGAUUUUCAAUUAACACAAUGUACUAUAAAUGCAGUUUUGGUUUUAUUCCAUGCUGGCUUUUAAGUAGGGCGUGUAUGCAUGAGUUCAUUAGAUAUCAUUGCAUAUUUUACAACAGUUUGUGAUAAAUAACCUAAAGAACCUAAGUUGAUCUCUGCAGAGCUUGCAAUAACUAAUUAAUGGCACUUUCCAAGCCUCUUGAGUGCAUCAAAAAUCAGAAAAUUGUCUCACACGUGUGCAUUUCCCCCCCCCCAGGGGGAGCAUUCCCCCUAGUCUGAAACGGUCAUACAAAUUUGGCCCCACCACAUCUGUAGCUGUCGUGCCACCUCUGAUGUAGCAUAAUUCUGCCUUUAAUGAAUGCGCAAAGUGUGUGAAAACCUGUCUGUUCAAUCAAUACCAAAUACUUCUAUGUAGGCUAGAAAACAUGCCCAAAUUUUGGAUUGUUUAUGUAGACUUGGUGCCCAAUUUCAACAUCGUACAUGCACAUUAAAUAUCUUUGAUGUUCCUUCAGCAUGUGCUUCUUAUUCUUGAAAGGACAUAGUUUCCUUUAAAAAACAGAUACAGUAUGUGAAAUUGUAAGGCAGUUUACAGAAGUGUGCUCCUUAUCAGACCUCCAAAAGAAAACAGACUGGUUACUGUGCUGACAGAGAGUCAGCAAGUAUGAUAGAGAGACAGUGCUGAGUUGCAAAACAUCAAACUGAGUGAGCAUUAUGUAAAACUUCAGUUCUCCAAUUGAUGUCAUGGGGAACAAGUUGGUGUCUCAGCUACAAAGAUUAACCUGGUGUGAUAUGCUUACAAUGCAAGCAAGAUCAUUGAUCUAUGCAGUUUUGUUAGUAUUGUGUCUUUAUUUGAUGAUUUUGUGUUUUGCUUUGAUCUUUUCAUAUAUCAUGGGAAGAGUGUAAUGGUCCGGGGUUAACACGGUCUCCUGUGCAUAUGCAUAUGCGUAUAGCCAUUUAUACACACACUUUUGCACCAUUGUAUAUUGUCAUUAUUACUGAACAAACUGACCAAUAAACUGCGUUCAGUCUAA